UCUGGGCAUGGUAGUGCAUGCCUGUAAUCCUAGUGACUUGGGAGGUUGAGGUAGGAGGAUCACAGUUCAAACUCAGCCUCAGGAACUUAGCAAGACCUUGUCUCAA
rnacentral:sRNA from 1 species